CCCCGGGCCCUCAGGGCGAAAUGGCGGCACAGGCCGCGCUGAGUGGAGCUCUUUCGGGACAUUCCGGGCACCCCUGCCCGGCCCCACCGGCCCGCCCGCGCCUCUGACCCCGGUCUUCUGACUUUUAAGAACUGCUCAGAGAGAAGAGCUGCUGAGGAGGUGGCGUGAGCUCUAACCUCUUCAGGAAUGUUCUGGAAUAUUGAAGACUGCUAAAGCAGAGGAAAGAAGCGGCAAACUUGUGGUGAGAAGGUGACAAAACCAGAAGCAGAGCUACAACUGUCUCUGAAAAUGUACCUGCAGGGCUGCUGGGUAAACAGCCUGUUUGACAUGACCGUGUGGGAGAGGCUGACACUUUCCUUUGCAGAUAAAUUGCUGUGGGAGGCUUUUGAUUUCAGACGCAAUCAUCAGGAUUUUAAACUUUUUUGCAACAUUAUUUUUUCAACACACUUGAUCUAGUUGUUGAACUUAAUCUUUGCUGGUUUAUUUCCUGCAUAAUUACCUUGCUCUGAUUUUUCAAAUAAAUACUUACAGGCUUUCAGGCAGGGUUUUGUAUUAGUCAGGCUUUUUUUUCUGUGGGUAAAUACUGCUUUUAA